AUUGAACGCUGGCGGCAUGCCUUACACAUGCAAGUCGAACGGCAGCAUAGGAGCUUGCUCCUGAUGGCGAGUGGCGAACGGGUGAGUAAUAUAUCGGAACGUGCCCUGGAGUGGGGGAUAACUAGUCGAAAGAUUAGCUAAUACCGCAUACGAUCUACGGAUGAAAGUGGGGGAUCGCAAGACCUCAUGCUCGUGGAGCGGCCGAUAUCUGAUUAGCUAGUUGGUGGGGUAAAAGCCUACCAAGGCGACGAUCAGUAGCUGGUCUGAGAGGACGACCAGCCACACUGGGACUGAGACACGGCCCAGACUCCUACGGGAGGCAGCAGUGGGGAAUUUUGGACAAUGGGGGCAACCCUGUUCCAGCAAUGCCGCGUGAGUGAAGAAGGCCUUCGGGUUGUAAAGCUCUUUUGUCAGGGAAGAAACGGUAGUGGCUAAUAUCCAUUGCUAAUGACGGUACCUGAAGAAUAAGCACCGGCUAACUACGUGCCAGCAGCCGCCGCCGUAA
rnacentral:rRNA from 1 species